rnacentral:rRNA from 1 species
UACGUAGGGUGCAAGCGUUUGUCCGGAAUUAUUGGGCGUAAAGAGCUCGUAGGCGGUUUGUCGCGUCUGCUGUGAAAACCCGAGGCUCAACCUCGGGCCUGCAGUGGGUACGGGCAGACUAGAGUGCGGUAGGGGAGAUUGGAAUUCCUGGUGUAGCGGUGGAAUGCGCAGAUAUCAGGAGGAACACCAAUGGCGAAGGCAGAUCUCUGGGCCGUAACUGACGCUGAGGCGCGAAAGCGUGGGGAGCAAACAGG